GUGUUUUAUGAAAGUGAAGAAUUAGGUUAGCAGUCCCCUUGACAAGAAUGCAAAAAUUCUAAUGGUCUGUAGCACAUGCAUACAUUUAAGGUAUCACCACCUCUUCAUGGCACCUAACAACAUUUUUUU
ensembl:snRNA RNU6ATAC39P RNA, U6atac small nuclear 39, pseudogene